AGUGAACGCUGGCGGUAGGCCUAACACAUGCAAGUCGAACGGCAGCACAGUAAGAGCUUGCUCUUACGGGUGGCGAGUGGCGGACGGGUGAGGAAUACAUCGGAAUCUACUUUUUCGUGGGGGAUAACGUAGGGAAACUUACGCUAAUACCGCAUACGACAUACGGGUGAAAGCAGGGGAUCUUCGGACCUUGCGCGAUUGAAUGAGCCGAUGUCGGAUUAGCUAGUUGGCGGGGUAAAGGCCCACCAAGGCGACGAUCCGUAGCUGGUCUGAGAGGAUGAUCAGCCACACUGGAACUGAGACACGGUCCAGACUCCUACGGGAGGAAGCAGUGGGGAAUAUUGGACAAUGGGCGCAAGCCUGAUCCAGCCAUACCGCGUGGGUGAAGAAGGCCUUCGGGUUGUAAAGCCCUUUUGUUGGGAAAGAAAAGCAGCAGGUUAAUACCCCGCUGUUCUGACGGUACCCAAAGAAUAAGCACCGGCUAACUUCGUG
rnacentral:rRNA from 1 species